rnacentral:misc_RNA from 1 species
UGAGUAGAGAAGGUGUUGUUCUUGCUGCUGUUAUGGCUAAUUCCAGCAGCAUCUUUUGUAGGGUUGGUUCUGAAGGAGACAAGCUAAAAUCCGAUUGCUUGAAGGUGCAAUUUUGCCAUCCAAAUGGUGAUCUCUUCACUUUACUUUCUGUUUACAAGGAAUGGGAGGCUGUGCCUAAGGAAGGAAAGAAUUCCUGGUGUUGGGAUAAUAGCAUCAAUGCCAAAUCCAUGAGAAGAUGCCAGGAGACUGUGCAAGAACUGGAAGCAUGCCUUAAGAGCGAACUUAAUAUCAUUGUUGCAAGCUACUGGCAUUGGGAUCCUCAGAUGCAUACCGAGCAUGAUGAAACUUUGAAAAGAAUAAUACUUUCUUCAUUUGCAGAGAAUGUUGCUAUGUAUUCUGGAUAUGA